UCCUGGAAACCAAGGUUCUAUGGUUUGGUCCACUUCUUCAUAGUGGAAGGAAUCCUGGGUAUACUGGUCAUCAAUGAAGUGGGACACCAUGCAAUUCAAACAAUUGGUGUCAGGAACUCCAGAAAUAAGGCAAUAUAACUGACCACUAGUUGGUUGAAGAAAAGAGAUGGCCAGAAUGGUUAAAGAUUCAAACAUAAGUGGUGAAAGUCUGGAUUGGAGAAGCAGUUUCAGUUGAAUUCAAAUUGUCAAAAGCUCAGCUAAGUGCAUAGGUUGAAAAGAGUCAUAACUACUUGAUUACAGUUAUGACAUGCUCUAAAAUCCCUCAUAGACAAUUUAACAACUCUAAACGUGAGUUAAAUGACAUUUCUUCUGGCUUCCUUCAUUUAUGUCCUAUAUCACGCAUAAAGGAUGCAUCACUAAUGUCUGUGAAAUUACUGUUCUUCAGGCUUCAUUGUGUCUGUGAUUGACUGAUUCUCUAGCCACAUUGCCCUCUGAUCUCUCUCUUGGACAACAGAUAACACAGCUUACUUUGCAAUCCUGCCUCAUUCGUUUUUGUACUGACUUGUCACACAAAUAGUGCCCAGUUCCAAUAGCAAGGAAUAGGGGGUUGAAAUUGCAAACUGGUUCCUACAUAUGUCCUGACUUGUGUUAGGUGAUGCCAGUCUUUCUUUUUGGGCAUUAGAAUCCACACAUUUUUAUAUUGUCUUACUUUAGGAGCCUUCUUUCAUUCGCAAAUUUAGUAUUAUUUUUCGUACAACCUUCAAGACUUUUACUAUGCUGGAGUUACUUUCCAUCUCUCCCUAGUACACUUAGAUGUUGCAUUUUCAUGUGUUAUUCUUGAACCUUGUAUUGAAACAAUGUCAAGAAAAUAUUCAGUAAAACUGUGGGUUUAUUAAAAACAUUUCAAUCUGCAUGACUUAAAAUAUAUUCAAUCACAACCAAAUAAAACAGUGGGUACAUCAAGUUUAUUUUUGUGCUGAUGUCUAAACUAUUGUCUUUGAAUUUCAUUUACUAUUGAUAGUUUUGCCUAAUCAUGAAUAUUUCAAUUCAAUCUGACUGAAAUAUAUUGCCCUAAUCUUCAUGAAAAACACGAGGUAAAACUAUUUUCUCUCAGAUGUAGAAUUAGUCUCUAUGUUAGUGUUAUCUCUUUCGUGAAAAUUCACUACCUGCUGAAUAUUUCAACUUCAAAAUUGAAACAUUCUUUUGUAAGCAUUAAUGAAAAUAACAGGUACAAUGUAUCUUCAAAUAAUAUUUUCCAGGUCAUUAAUUCCAGUGAACUUCAUCUCACAAAAUCUUAACAUAUCAGUUCAAAUCCAUUGUUUCUAAGUGCAUGUUACUUACUGUUGUGUUCUUUACUUACUUAAUCCAUUUGUGUUAUCCAGCAGUCAUGAAGGACUAUUAUGUUAACAGAUGUGAAAGACAGCACACACAUUUAUUUACAGAUAUUGUCCUAUACACAUAUCACCAUUACACAUCUUCACAUAUUCUAGUAGCAUAUAGCAGAUUGCCUCCGACUGUCACGUAAAUUACUUUGGUAACCUUCUUGGGUUACCUUCCAAAGAUAUAUCGUGGUAGUUAUGGCUCUGUAAUUUGUUGUCAUCUCAGAGUCAUUAGACUAUUUGUUUUUCAUUUCAAGUUUCAUGAAACAAAUAAUCAUUGGUGGAAUUCAGCCAAACAAAGGCUUUUUAGCAAAAAUUCUCAUCAUUCAGGAUUAAUGCUUAUGCUGUUACUGUUGCAGAAUCAGCAUACUUUCCAGUUAUACUCCAUUGUGUUCUUGCCACUCAGCCAAAAUAAAGGGAGUAAUUCUUUUAAAACAUUGGGUGAUGUUUCCGAUCAGAAAAUUAAUUCAAUAGCUCAGGAAGUAAGUGUUGCAGCACCUUUUCAGUUAUUGAUUUUUCAACAACAUAACCAUUCUAGCUUAUGAAAUAAGUCAAGAGACAUUCACAAAAGGUAAUGCUUAUACUGCAAAAUCUCAUCUGAAAGCGAGGCUCACAAAGCCUUUUCAGCUGAAUUUUCAAACUUCUACUUACCAUCUUCAAUUAUUCAAAUUGUUGGUUUAUUAGGUGUUAGGUCUACUCAUUCCAGCUGCCUUAGAUUAAGUAGUUGAGUCAUAAUCGUAGUGUAGUACAUACAUUGUACCUCAUCAUACUAUAUGAGGGAUCAGAAAGAAAAGUUUGCAAUGUUCUUUCAGUUUGAAAAAAGGAAACAUGGAUGAUGAAAACAGUAAUAUAGUUCCUGAUGUGGUUCAAAUGACAAUGUGG